rnacentral:misc_RNA from 1 species
AAGUCGUAACAAGGUAACCGUAGGUGAACCUGCGGUUGGAUCAUUAAUAAAUCUAGAAGACCUAAGGUCUUUUUAACAUCUUGUGUAUAGUAUAUCGUUUUUGAUGGGCGCGCAAGUCCUUGAAAAUAAACUUUGUAUAUCAUUCGUCUAUAACUUUUAAUGAAUAAUUAAAAACAACUUUUGACAACGGAUCUCUAGGCUCUCA